UCUGCCACCGCCACUAUCCAUUCUCUCUCUGUUUUUUCUUCUUUCCUCCUUCCUAUUUCUUUCCCGUUCUCUCUCCAUACCCAUGCCACUCACCCAUCUCAACAAUACCGCGACUAUCAAUCCGGUGACGCCACCAAUCGACGUUGUCUUUCUCUUUCUCUCUCUCUCUCCAUUUUUUUCCCUCUCUCACUCUCUCACCUUCCCAUCUUCACCAUGCCAUCCCUCGUCGUCACUGUUGGCUACGCCAACCACAGUCGGCUGCACACCAUUCCUACGAUCCCACUACGGCAACCUCUUCUGCCAUCAUUCUCAUCGUCCACCAUUGACAACCACUUGUCGCCACCCAUAUUAGCUCCACCACACCUUCUCUUCAUGCGCCACCUAUGGUCGUCAUUACUUAUUCAGACGAUGGGUUUGUGGAUAGGGGUCUCCUUCUCGGCAGUGACAACACAACGAUCAACAUGAGAGGUUUGAGAUAGAGGUGUUGGUGAUUUUGGGGUCUUUCUAAAGGGCAGUGCCUUGAAGAUUAAUGCUAGAGAUAUGGUAUUCAAGAAAUAUAGCAAAAAGAAGAAGAAGAUGAAGAAUUAGUGACCACCUCUUACGAAUAUAGUAUUGUACUUUUCAAUUUAAGUUUAUAUAUUAUCUUAAUUGAAUGUUUGUAAUUAGUUUUUUUUUUUUUUUUGUAGAUAGAAAAGAGAGAGUAAGUAGAAAAAGAUUUAUUCCAUUGUGUUUUUAAUAUUCAAAUGUAUAUAUAAUAAUUUUUUCCCUUGA